rnacentral:rRNA from 1 species
UACGUAGGGUGCAAGCGUUGUCCGGAAUUAUUGGGCGUAAAGAGCUCGUAGGCGGUCUGUUGCGUCGGCUGUGAAAACCCGGGGCUCAACUCCGGGCCUGCAGCCGAUACGGGCAGACUAGAGUUCGGCAGGGGAGACUGGAAUUCCUGGUGUAGCGGUGAAAUGCGCAGAUAUCAGGAGGAACACCGGUGGCGAAGGCGGGUCUCUGGGCCGAUACUGACGCUGAGGCGCGAAAGCGUGGGGAGCGAACAGG